GAAACAACAUGAGCAGAAAACCUGCAGCAGCAGAGGAAACAACAUGAGCAGAAAACCUGCUGCAGAGGAAACAACAUGAGCAGAAAACCUGCAGCAGAGGAAACAACAUGAGCAGAAAACCUGCCGCAGAGGAAACAACAUGGGCAGAAAACCUGCAGCAGCAGAAGAAACAACAUGAGCAGAAAACCUGCAGCAGAGGAAACAACAUGAGCAGAAAACCUGCAGCAGAGGAAACAACAUGAGCAGAAAACCUGCAGCAGAGGAAACAACAUUUCUAACUGAGGGGGACUGAUCUGCAGGAACAGACGUGACCUUUGACCCCAGAUAAAACUCAGGGAUCACGCAACUCUUCAGGCUAAUUAUUCACAGCUGGAGGUCAAAGGUCAUCAAAUGCACCUCCAGCUGUUCAGUAAUAUCAACAAGAGGGAGAAGAAAAAGGUAAAGGCAGUAUAAUAUUAACGUCUGACUCGCCCCUCUAUGCAGCGUCUGGUCUCCAGGAAGGCCUGUCUCUGAGUCCGGUCCGACAGGUAGUGAAUGAACAGACCGGCGAUGUUCAUGGCCAGGUACAACAAGGCCUUCGACAACACCUGGACAGGUAAGAAACACACACAUCAGAUCUGUGACAGGGUUAGCUGAAAGGAAAGGAAAGAAGGAACAAACGUAGGAAAGGAGGAUGGAUGGUAGACAGACUGGAAGAGAACCUUUCUGAUGAAGGUGCGGUCGCCGUAAUGACAGCAGAAGUCCAGCAGCAGGUGCAGGGUGGAGGUGGUCGCUCCUGCGAUGAUGGACCAGAGGAGGGGGAGGAACAGCAGAGUGUAGGUGGAGAACAGGGAGAAGAAGACGUACCAGGAGUGAUCGCUCUCCGCCCAGCUGAACACGCCCACCAACACCUGCAGCAUCUGGGAGAGCCAGCUCACCACAGACAGCAUACCUCAGGCACUGUGGCGAUGAUAUCACCUCCCUCCUGAUGAGCGCCAGCACACAGAUCCCCGCCCACAGGACAACCGACAGGCCGGCCAGCCAAACAGAGGCCACGCCCCACCAGCCCGGCGGCCACGCUAGCAGCGAGAUGAGGAGUCUGGUCAGGAUGUCAAUCACGUUGGUGACGACCAGCGAGGUUCUUCUCUGACCGGACGAGAACUGCUGGUAGACCUGCUCCAAGUCCGGAGACCUGAAUAAGCGAAAGUAAGCAGAGGACGGGCUCGUGGAAGCAGACCCAGAACACCUGUGCGGGAAUGAAGACUCCUCGCACUGACGACCCCCACGACACAAAGAAGUCGGCGUCUCCGAGCGAGUCGUUUUUUGUCUGUGUUGCCGCGGUGAUCCUCGGCGUCGACGGGUGGAUACGAGCGGCUGACGAGCGCCGCUUCUGCCAGAGCGCUCCGCGAGACGCCUUAGAGCGGAUCUGCCUGCAAGGCGACACAGAGGGAAAAAAGCUCACUCAAAAAAGUUGACUCAUAUUUCUUUUCAGAUUUAAAUUAUCAUAAAUUGAUAGCAAGCCAACUGUCUUUCUACCGGUUGAUGACAUCACUGUGUCUACCUGAUGAUGACGUCACUACCUGUUGAUGUCGGCGAUGUAGGCGUCUGUGACGGUGAUGCGGUGUCUGCCUCUCUCCAGGCCUCCGGCGAGCCUGAGCGAGUACAGGUUGUGCUGGUCGAUGAUGUUUCUAACGGCGUUUUGCCACAUCAGGUGUUUCCUCGUCAGGCUUGUGGCGGGGCUUAUGUUCGUGCUGAAGGUGAUGUCACUGGUGUGCCGCGCCAUCUCGCAGUCGCCGUUCUCCAUCACGCCACGGUUACCGUCCAUGGUUAUGAAGACCGCCUCGUCUGCAAACUGAUUGGUAGCGGAAGGGAAGUGAAAAUGAACAGAUUUACGUAAACAAGACUUUACGUUAUUUUAAAAAGCCACAGCUGUGUAUUAAAUGGAUGAGAUGACAGCGCCCCAGAAGUGAAGCCAAAACAUCUGGAUCGCCCCCUGCUGGCUGGCUGUAGUCAUAAACCCCGCCCUCUCCAUGUUAGCGGAUGACCCAAACUGGUUUCUUUGUUCUUAUCACAUUCAUGUUUGGUCAAGUGUUAACUUUUCCAGUAAGUUUGGUUUUAAUUAUUUACAGUUGCAAGAAAAAGUUUGUGAACCCUUUGGAAUUACUUGGAUUUCUGCAUAAAUUGGUUAUAAAUGUUUUUUCUUUCAUGUUUUUCUUCAACACAUCGUGCAACAAUCACAGUGCAGGUUGGGAAAAGCCCUAGGCUAAUGACUUCUCCUAAAGCUAAUUGGAGUUAGCUAACCUGGAAUCCAAUCAAUAUGACGAGAUUGGAGGUGUUGGUUAGAGCUGCCCUCUAAAAAACACGCACCAAUUUUGAUUUAGCUAUCCUCAUUAAGUAUUUCCUGAUGUGAACCAUGCCUCGAACAAAAGAGCUCUCAGAAGACCUAAGAUUGAGAAUUGUUUACUUGCAUGAAGCCGGAUGUUCAUCAGUCCACAGUAAGACAAAUCAUCUAUAAAUGGAGAAAGUUCAGCACUAUUGUUGCUCUCCUUGCCAAGAUGACUGCACAGUGCAGAAUACUCAAUGAGGUUAAGAAGAAUCCUAGAGUGUCAGCGGAAGCCUUACAGAGAUCUGUGGAACAUGCUAACAUCCCGGUGGACGACUUUACAAUACGUAAAACACUAAACGAGAAUGGAGUUCAUGGAUGGACACUGCUGUCCAAAAAAACACUGCUGCCUGUCUGAAGUUUGCAAAAGAGCGCCAGGAUGUUCCAUAGCACUACUAGCAAAAUAUUCUGUGGACAGAUGAAACCAAAGUUGAGUUGUUUGGAAGGAACAAAUAACCCUAUGUGUGGAGGAAAAAGGCACAGCACACAAACAUCAAAACCUCAUCCCAACUGUGAGGUAUGGUGGAGGGGGCAUCAUGGUUUGGAAGGGCUGCGAUCAUCCACGAAAAAAAUUAAUUCCAAAGUAUAUAAAGAAAGUUUACUUCAGCAGAAGAAAACACACCUUCUUUGAGUGUGUUCAGGACAAUGUACAAACUUUUGUGUUUUAAAAUGUAAAAAUGUAAAAAGGUUUAAGACAUUAAAAAAACAAAACAUGUAAAAGUUUCUUUUGUGGAUUUUUUACUGCAGUAAUCCAGGUAAUUCCAAAGGGUAAACAUACUUUUAUUUGCGACAGUAUUUGUUGCUUAAAAAAGGAGGUUUCAUAUCAUGAUUGACAGCUAAGCCCUGCUCGCGAUUGAGUCACCCGGGUGUAUGGGCGGGACCUCGAUACCGUGACUUUGGGUCAUCAGAGCAAUAUGGCAGUGCUCGUAUUCCGGAUACUUUCCAUCUUUAUGCACAGUCUGUGGUCUGUGGACAGUUUGUUUUGAUGACUAGUGGUUGGAUAAAGUUCUUGUCGUGCUGUAAACAUUUUAUACGUUCAGUUGAUCAGAUCAUCUGUCAAAAUACUUAAUGGCCUCUCAGUGGGACAGGUGGCCUGAACACAUGGUGUUGGCCCGGGUCAGAGACAGGUUUCAGGGCUAAUCCAAUCAGGUUAGCGGCCUGCUGGCUGCUAAUUGAUACCUGAGAACAGCAGAACAGGAAGUAUAAUGACAAAUAAACACCUUGUACCUCACUGUAGCUAGUGCCAUUAAUUGGUUGAAAACUGUCUCUAGCUAGCUUUUAUGUUUUCAGUUUACUUGUUUUACAUAUGUAUAUAUUUAUAUGAUAUCAUGCUAACAGACUGAAGCUAAAACCAACAGUCAUGACAUCCUGCUAACAAGUCAUGACAUCAUGCUAACAGACUGAGGCUAAAGCCAACAGUCAUGACAUCAUGCUAACAGAUCAUAUCGUCAUGCUAACAGGUCAUGAUGUCAUGCAAACAGGUCAUGAUGUUAUUCUAACAGACUGAAGCUAAAAUGCUCACAGAUUGAGGUUAAAGCUAACAAGUCAUGACAUCAUGCUAACAGACUGAGGCUAAAGCCAACAGUCAUGACGUCAUGCUAACAGGUCAUGACGUCAUGCUAACAGACUGAGGCUAAAGCCAACUGUCAUGACAUCAUUCUAACAGACUGAAGCUAAAGUUAACAGGUCACAACAUCAUGCUAACAGACUGAGGCUAAAGCCAGGUGUCAUGACAUAAUGCUAACAGACCGAGGCUAAAUCCAACUGUCAUGACAUCAUGUUAACAGACUGAGGCUAAAGCCAACAAGUCAUGACAUGAUGCUAACAGGUCAUGACAUCAUGCUAACAGACAGAGGCUAAAGCCAACAGUCAUAACAUCAUGCUAACAGGUCAUGACAUGAUGCUAACAGACUGAAGCUACAGCUAACAGGUCAUGA